GAUGAAGAACGUAGCGAAAUGCGAUAAGUAGUGUGAAUUGCAGAAUUCAGUGAAUCAUCGAAUCUUUGAACGCACAUUGCGCCUCCUUGUAUUCCGGGAGGCAUGCCUGUUCGAGCGUCAUUAAAAUCACUCAAGCUUAGGUUUACCUAUUGCUUGGUCUUGGAGAUGGAAGCCAAUUUAUUGGAAUCCUCUUCGAAAUUCAAUGGCGAAGACCCUUGCUCUCCCAAGUGUAGUAAUAACUUAUGUCACUGAAGGAAGCGAGAAAUCUUCUGCCGUAACCCCCAUAUUUUCUAUGAUUGACCUCGGAUCAGGUAGGGAUACCCGCUGAACUUAAGCAUAUCAAUAAGCGGAGGA
rnacentral:misc_RNA from 1 species